UGAGGAUUCCAAGCCAGUGGAAGGCCAAGAUGAUAAUAUAUCCUGUGUUAGCAGUGGCAAUGAUCUAAACUCCAGGGCUAAUAAUGAUGAUUCCUAUAUAGACAGAAAAGUUGCUCCCUCUAGUUCAGUUUCAAGUGGCAAUCUGUAUCCAGAAGGAAUGAGAGUAUCAAUUCAAGAAGAUGGAAGUGAAAGAGAUGAUCAGGAAAUUCCAUUAGGAGAUUUUAAAUCUCUUAAUGAAGAUAACCAGGUUGAAAAGUUAACUGAAUCACUUGAGACCCCUGACGUGCCAGACCCUUCACCACAAGUUCUGCCUGAGGAUGAGAGUGAGGGAUCGGAUAUCCUGGAGCAGGAUGUCAAAGUUUGUGAUAUCUGUGGGGAUGCAGGUCGGGAGGAUCUACUCGCUAUAUGUAGUAGGUGUAGUGAUGGUGCAGAACACACCUAUUGCAUGCGAGAAAUGCUUCAAAAGGUACCAGAAGGUGACUGGGUGUGUGAAGAAUGCAAGUCAGCUGAUGAGAAUGAAAACCAGAAGCCAGGUAUUGAGGGGAAAACAUUGUCUAGAGUCACUUCUGCUUCACAAGUCCCUGAUAAAAGUUUCGUUGAAAAUAUCGAAGUCUCUCCAACGGUUAUAGGACCAGGAUCAUCAAAGUUGUGUGGCUCCACUAGGAGAGUCACAUCAUCAAGGGAUUCUUGCUUCAAGAAUAUUGAUAAGGGAAAAGCGAAGCUAGCUCGUCAAAUGUCAUGUGUAAAUUCUGUUCAAGACUUCCCAGAGGGUGCACGCUCCCCCCAGCCUUCCAAUCUUCGAUCCAAAGGUACUUUAUUGAAGUCCAAUUCAUUUAAUGCCUUCAUUGCAAAGCCAAAAGUAAAAGUGAUUGACGAAGGAAUGAUUCAGAAGCACAAAAGCAUAAGGGAGAAUUCUUCCUUCAUUUCAAAGGAAGGGCCUACCAAAAUAAUAGGCAAAUCGAUGUCAUUCAAACACGCAAAUCCAGGCCGUCCACUUGCUGUUGAUGCCAAAGUUAAAAUGCUUCCAACUAAACUCACCCAUGUUCAGACUCCAAAAGGAUCUAAGAAUCUUAAAGAAGGGAGUGUGCUUGAUAGGAUGAGUUUACGUAAGUUAGACCGCACUUUUCAAGUCUAACAAGGGACAAUUCUACUCCGUCUACACCUAAUUCUGAUCAGAAGCUUACAUCUUGUGGGGAACCUUUGCAAGGCUCACCUCUGAGCAACAACCGAGAUUCAAAGCUUGCACAGUCUGAUGUUAAACCGGCUGUUUUGGUUAAAUCUGCUGAAUACAAGUCAAAUCAGCUUGAUCAGAAAGAAGAACCCUUAACUAGUUCUUCUCGGACUGUCGAGAAACAUUGUAUUGAAGGCAAUGGCCUUCGACAUGAUGGGUUGUCUCGCUCAAAGGGCUUGGCAAAUCACACUGACAAAGCCCGGGAUUGUUCUGUUAGUCGCUCAAAGCCGGCAGUUAUAAGUGGUUCAAGAAGCAUUUUCUGUCAAAAUGUAAAGAAGUCGGUCAUGAUGCAGAGUCUUGCCCUGUUAGUAGCUUGCAGGUUGGAACAGAUGUUUCAAUGACCAGAAGUAUGAAAGAAGAGACGUACAACAGUAGUAAGACUAAAACUCCGAUAACAUCUUCUAUGCUGAAAAAGCCUGGAAGAAGAAACAAAGGACCUGAGAAAUCUGAGGAUUUGUCUGUGUCUAGCCCCACACACAUGGAUCCCCUAUCAUUUCCAGACGUCUCGAGGAAAGUUAUGUCUGCUGAUGGGCCAUAUGAAGGGCAGGCAGUUCGUCAGAGCUGUACAUCUGAUUCCCGCUUGCAGAUGAUUGGCAAUAAUGCAACACAGCUGACUGGACCACAAAAAGGAGCUACUUCCUUAAAAGGAGCGAACAUAGAUUUCACUAGGCACCCUGAGGGGAGUUCUUCAAGCCAUUUACCUUGCGUUUCAGUUUUGCCGUCUGCUAUUUGCAGGAUAUCAGCUAUUCCGGAGCAUGAGUGUAUCUGGAGAGGGAGUUUGGAGGUGUGCAGAGGCAGUCAGCAGCUAGAUUUUUGUGGUGGACUUCAAGCACAUCUGUCUACUUUGGCUUCAACUAGGGUUCUUGACAUGGUGAAGAAGUUUUCAGAUAAACUUUCCUUGAGCGAAGUACCUAGAAGUUGUACAUGGCCAACCCAGUUUUAUGAUAGUGGUGCUCAAGAUGAUAAUAUUGCUCUUUACUUUUUCGCGGAGGAUCCCGAGAGUUAUGAGAGGAGCUACAAAGGUCUUUUGGAGAAGAUGAUCAAGAGUGAUUUAGCUUUGAAAGGAAAUUUUGAUGGCGUUGAACUACUGAUUUUCCCAUCCAACCAACUCCCAGAGAAAUCCCAGCGCUGGAACACGUUGUUUUAUCUCUGGGGUGUUUUCCGGGGAAGAAAUGUAAUUGGUUCAGAGCAGCAAUCUGGUUCUUCACUGAAGUCAAGUAUAUCCACUUCGAAUGUGACACUUCCAGAGAAAGAUAUUCCUCCUUCUGUUGUACCGUCAUCUAAUAAGCUAUCUCUUCCUAAAUGUAAUGGUGAGAAUCUGCCUCCAUGUGGUAAAUAUUGCGAACAGAGUUCUCCCUCUGGGAAUCCUUCAUUGGGCAGUUCUCAGAUCACACCAUCAUCCAUGGCCAUGAAUGGAAACUGUCAUGCAAAAGACUCUUCAAUUGAUAAGAUGCGUAUAUGUUUGAACGAAGUCUCAAUUGAGGAAGACAGUGGACAUGAUUCCAUUGAUUUGCAUGGCUCCUUUACAAGCAGUGACUGGUCAAAGCAGCAAAAGAAAUGUCCUCAAACAUCCCAGAAUGAAGUUUCUGGUUCAGAUGCCAUAGUGCCCAUGGAGCUUCAGCCGUAUGUAACAACUGGUGCCCAUAGUAGUGCCGAAGAUGAUAAGAUGUUGAUGCAGUGUGCUACCUCUCCGGACAGAAAAGUUUCUUUGUCCCAUUCUUUGCUUGGAGGAAUCAGGAAUAGCAGGAGCAAGAAUUGCAUGGCAUGGGAAAUGAAGUGAAGCUUGACAGAAUCUUGAAGGAAGAAGACAGGCUCAUGGAUAGAGGUGCUGCAGUAGACGUAGAAUCAACGACUUUCGAUGUGCUCAAGCAUUUGCAGCAUGAACAGAAGCAAGGUGCUGCAUUAGAGGUAGAAUCGACGACUUUAGAUGUGCUCAAGCAUUUGCAGCGUGAAAAGAAGCGGCGACAUUCAGAUCUUGUUGAGACAGCCUUACAAACUUCUUUUGGCACUAAUGAAAAAGUGGCAUCGAAAGUUUCUUUGUCCCAUUCUUUGCUUGGAGGAAUCAGGAAUAGCAGGGAGCAAGAAUUGCAUGGCACGGGAAAUGAAGUGAAGCUUGACAGAAUCUUGAAGGAAGAAGACAGGCUCAUGGAUAGAGGUGCUGCAGUAGACGUAGAAUCGACGACUUUCGAUGUGCUCAAGCAUUUGCAGCAUGAACAGAAGCAAGGUGCUGCAUUAGAGGUAGAAUCGACGACUUUAGAUGUGCUCAAGCAUUUGCAGCAUGAAAAGAAGCGGCGACAUUCAGAUCUUGUUGAGACAGCCUUACAAACUUCGUUUGGCACUAAUGAAAAAGUGGCAUGGAAUAAUGUUAGUAGUGAAAAUGUUAAAAUAGAGCAUGUGGAUAAGAAGCAAAAGACUGAUUGUAGGGAAAUAUAUGAGGCUAGUAGGCCGAUAGAUGCAAAUCUGGUAGAUGGUUUUGCAUCACAGAAAAGUGCGCAGGAUUCCACUCUGGCAGUUGUGGAGAAGUUGCACAAUAAAGUGUGUGAUGAGCCGAUCAAUUUGGAAAACACGGGAACUGCUGAGAGGUUCUUCUUUCCUGUCCUUUCCAAUCAUGCAAAGGACCUAACCUCAGCGGAGAGCUCCAUGCCUUGGAAAACACUGCCGUCAUCGGUUCCAGCUCGAUCUCAUGAUGGGGUCCCAAAUCUUGACCUUGCUUUGGGAGCAAAAACAAAGUCAUCAAACAAAGGACUUCUGCCCCUUUGGAUUGGUGUGGCAGAUAAAAGCGAUAGUCAUCCAGAGGCGGUGGCUGCCCAGGAAGAGGACCCUGUUUCUGGUUCUCUUUCCUUGUCUCUUUCUUUCCCUUUCCCAGACAGUGACAAAGGAUUUAAACCUGUUCCUGAUGCGGAGCAACUAUUGCCUGAAAGCCGUCGUGUGAAUACAUCCUUGCUCCUUUUUGGGGACUUUUCAGAAAAAUGACCUUUGGUCCUUGCACAAAUGGUGUACAUUUAGUUUUACCCAAUGGAUGUGCUGGGACUUCGUCCGUCCUCUGUUGGCUUUCUGAGGGGAAGGCCUAUACCAUUUGUUGAUAACCCACAUAGGAUUCACCAAUAGUCUUUUUCCAAAUACUUGCUUCCUUUUCUUUUUUUCUCGAGUUUUUACAUUAUAGCCUCUCCGCUGUUUGAGUGCACAGGCACUGCUGUAUGUAUAUAAGGAGUUGAAAGCCGAGACUUGAAGAUACUGAGGAAUUUUCGGGCUGUAAGUUGGUAAUCUUAAUUGUCCCUUA